CUACGUGCCAGCAGCCGCGGUAAUACGGAAGGUUCGGGCGUUAUCCGGAUUUAUUGGGUUUAAAGGGAGCGUAGGCCGUGGAUUAAGCGUGUUGUGAAAUGUAGAUGCUCAACAUCUGACUUGCAGCGCGAACUGGUUUACUUGAGUGUGCGCAACGUAGGCGGAAUUCGUCGUGUAGCGGUGAAAUGCUUAGAUAUGACGAAGAACUCCGAUUGCGAAGGCAGCUUACGGGAGCACAACUGACGCUGAAGCUCGAAGGUGCGGGUAUCAAACAGGAUUAGAUACCCUGGUAGUCCGCACAGUAAACGAUGGAUGCCCGCUGUUGGUUCAUUAGGGUCAGCGGCCAAGCGAAAGCAUUAAGCAUCCCACCUGGGGAGUACGCCGGCAACGGUGAAACUCAAAGGAAUUGACGGGGGCCCGCACAAGCGGAGGAACAUGUGGUUUAAUUCGAUGAUACGCGAGGAACCUUACCCGGGCUUGAAUUGCAGACGAACGAUUCAGAGAUGAAGAGG
rnacentral:rRNA from 1 species